ensembl:lncRNA
AGUGUGUGCAUAAAUCUCAGCUCCUUGACUGACUGCAUCUGCACCUAAGGGAAGCUUCUCUGUCGCAAGUGAGGACUUGUGGCCACCCUGACCUGGGUGACACUUCAUCUUCCCUUUUGCCUCUGUCCCUCCAGCUGUGGCUCUGUGGAGUAAGACACGUGGUGGUGGCUGUUGGUGGAGCCUCAGAUGCCAGCGGUCACAAAAGACCCAGCCCCUCGCUGUGCACAGAGCACUUUCCCUGUGUUUCCAGCCUGGCAGCAUCCAGGCAGCAAGCAGAGGGCUGUGCAGAGGCUAGCAUGCUCCAGCCCUCAAGCUGUACUCUCCUCCCGCUCGCCUGCAGCUCAGCUGAGUGGAGGGCUCUCUGGUCCCCUGCAACUUCCCUGAGGAUGGUCUCGAAGGCAGGGAGCAGCCAGCCAACAGGCGCUGCGGGUGCACAGCCUCUCCCAGCACCCUGCCCACUCACUCUUGAGAAGCCCUGUGUCGUCAGUGUGGUGACGCGCCCUAGGAAGUUGCCCAUGUAUGGCUCCCCAAGUGAGUGAUAUCAUCACAAUCCGUGGCUCUGUCUAAAUGGGAUCAUUGGUGAAAUGAGAUUAGAGACGUCCAUCUGAGGAGGCAGCAGACCGAGCACCUGCUCUCUUGAAUCGAUGUCCCGGGGGACGGCACCGCGCACUAAUCAAGGCGUCCGUCUCCAUGGCUAAUUCCGUUAGCAGCCACGCGCCUGCCUCUUCCGCUCCGUGCCAGGCAGCCCCCACAUCCACAUGCAGUCCACUCCAGAUCCGUGUUUUCUAUUAUGCUUGAAUAUAUGGGACAUGCAUCUCGGUCCUCUGCCCGCCACCCUGCUGCAGUGUGCUUGUUUUGCAGAGCUGUGUGGUAGCCUGGCUGGACUCAGGACUGACCGGAGCAGGGACACACGCUGGGUCCUCCUGGCCUCCCUCCAGCCCAAGCACGCAGCCCCUGUCUGCCUGCUGAGAAUCCUCUGCUCCUUGCAUUUGGAUGCUGCCAGCAGUGCAGCUGCCACCGAGCCUCGGAGACGGAGGAGAUGCAGAUGGGCUUCCUUUGUGAUGCCUGGUGCAGGGGGAGCUGGUGCCCCUCGCAGCUGCAGGAGGCAGAGGAAAGGAGAAGAGGAGAUGCUGGGCUGAGGAGCCUGCUGUGAGGCAUUGCCUGCAUUUGUCUUCAUGGGCGGCAGAAAGGCACUUCUGAAGCAGAGCGGAGGAUCUGGUGCUUGGUGCUCGGCUCUGGGGAGGCUCUGAGGCUGUGGAGGGCACAGUUGGCUGGGGCUACCUGAGGCACUGGGCGCCAGCGCACACCCCAGAUGGCUCGGCCACAGGGACGUGGUAGUAGGUGAGGGUGAGGGCACUCUAAUCCUCCUUCCCUUGCUUGUGCUCUGCUGAUACUUUGCGUUGGGUUCGCUUGCUCUUCCUUGUGCAGAAACAGGUGCCUCGCUAAACAGAAUGGGAGGGUCCAGCCCCUUCCCCACGAGGCUGAAUGUUGUGCACUAGGCAUCUGGUAACUCCUUGCUCACAAGUUCCUGCUGUCUCCUGCAGAGGUUACGCUAGGGAGGACCAAGCACGCCCAGACAGGAGCUGUCAUUGGCCUCCCCCGUCCCAGUGGAGUUUGACAGCCCCAUUCAUAAUUUUGUCCCCAGAGCUCGGAUGUAUGGCCCAACAGAGGCUCGGUGUUAAAAUGGAGUGCUCUGUGGCUUUGGAUCUGCUCACAACUAUGUCAGGGCAGGGCAGCAGGACUUUUUCUAGCCAUGUGGGUCUCUUGGACAUCCAGCAACAAGUAUUUUCCUACCAGAUCAUCUGUCACAGAGGCCAGAUCUCAGGGAGCACUCACACAUGUGACUGUGUGAUUCCUGGACACGGGCAGAUGCCAGCCUUCUGCAGGGUCUGUGGCCCAGGCAGAAGAUGCUAUUUGGAGGAACUGCACGGAUGAGAAGCUCUCAGGUCAUGGCGCGAGCAAGACG